rnacentral:rRNA from 1 species
GACGAACGCUGGCGGCGUGCCUAACACAUGCAAGUCGAACGGAGAUACUUUUGAAGCUUGCGAUAAAGUAUCUUAGUGGCGGACGGGUGAGUAACGCGUGGGUAAUCUGCCCAUAAGUGGGGAACAACAGUUGGAAACGACUGCUAAUACCGCAUAAUCUGCCUUAGGGUAGGAAAGGUGGCCUCUUAACAAUGCUGCCGCUUAUGGAUGAGCCCGCAUCUGAUUAGCUAGUUGGUGGGGUAAAGGCCCACCAAGGCGACGAUCAGUAGCUGGUCUGAGAGGACGACCAGCCACACUGGAACUGAGACACGGUCCAGACUCCUACGGGAGGCAGCAGUGGGGAAUUUUGGACAAUGGGCGCAAGCCUGAUCCAGCCAUUCCGCGUGAGUGAAGAAGGCCUGGUUGUAAGACUCUUCGUCAGGAAGAAACGUAAUACUCUAACAUAGAGUAGAGGUUGACGGUAACCGUUCGAUUAAGAAGACACCGGCUAACUACGU